UACGAAGGGGGCUAGCGUUGUUCGGAAUUACUGGGCGUAAAGCGCACGUAGGCGGAUCGAUCAGUCAGGGGUGAAAUCCCAGGGCUCAACCCUGGAACUGCCUUUGAUACUGUCGAUCUGGAGUAUGGAAGAGGUGAGUGGAAUUCCGAGUGUAGAGGUGAAAAUUUCGUAGAUAUUCGGAGGAACACCAGUGGCGAAGGCGGCUCACUGGUCCAUUACUGACGCUGAGGUGCGAAAAGCGUGGGGGAGCAAACAGG
rnacentral:rRNA from 1 species